ensembl:lncRNA
CUCAGCUAAGUAUCAUGCAUUAGGUGGGCUCAGGUGGUCACUUAUUGGUGCCUGUCAAAGGCAGAAAACAAACUCAACAGUCGUCACAAGGGAGACCAGGCCACUAGAAUAUUGGGACAAGGAGCAGGUCUGAAGCAGGAAAAAGAAGAGGGGUGGGGAGACAGCAAAGCAGGGGACCCCUGGCAGGGGUCGGCUGUCCAUAAAUCCAAGUUUCUCUCCUCGAACCCCACCCCUCUUCCUCCAGUCCGGAAAAGGCUUCCUCCUGGGAGACCCCCAGUGAAAUGAGCUGUUCUUAUCUCCUGAGCCUGGAAAUCCUUUUACUUCUCUUUAACCGGUUCACCAGCACGUGGUCUUCGAUCCCAGCCAGCAACUCCCUCUCAACUUGGGACCCGAACCCAGAGACUGGAAGAGCUGGGAGUUCCACAAGGAUCUGACUAGUAAGGGCUUCUUCCCGGCCUACUUGGUAAAGCCACGUGCUCGCGGCCUCCUAGGGUAGGGGCGUUCUGGAAUGUUGCUGCCCACAGAGCUUUCCCAGGCUUCAGCGCUGCCCUGCGGGCGCACAGACGCGCUCCCGCGGCAGCACACCCACGGGCUCUCCCGAGCGCGUACACGUGCACCCACGCGGAGGCAAGAUCCACACAGCUGCCUCUGUCAGGCAGGCACGCAAGGGGUGUUGUGUUUGAGGUGUAAACGGCUCUCGCUUGUCCUCCGUCUCCUCCUUCCUCUUCUUCCAACCUGUUUCCUCAGGGCUCCGGGUCCAGUCCCGGGUUUAGGAAUCAGCGCCAAACUCCCGGAGGCUUUGUUCAGAAGACGCCUCCUCCCUCCAGGUCCGCGGGCGCCGCGGGUCCCGGGCUCCAGGGCGAGCUCCGCGGAGCCGGGGCGGCGCGGAAGGAUCCGAGUUCCAGAGCUGCAGGCAAACUCGUUCGGGCAGAGGGACUGCGCGGCGACACCUCCGACACCUCCGAAAAAUAGACCAAAGGGACCCCGCGGAGCAGGACAUCGGCGGACACCACCGCGGUCCGGAGGAGUCUGCUUAAAGCCAUCAGCGCCUCCCCAGUGGCUUUCUCUCCAGUGAAAGAAGCCGGUUUCUGACAAGUCCAGGGCAAAGAAAAACCUGCGGCGAACUAAGUCCGGGGACUCUCCGAGAAACAGAGUGCUUCCAUCUUCUCCUCACUUAAAACUUGGCCGCUUCUGGGACUUCACUGAGGGACGGCGGAGUCGCACCAGCGUGGACCACAAGCAGAGGCGAGCGAGCACUGCCAAAUACUUUUGGACGCGGGGGUGGCCCCUUUUUGCUUCAGGAUUGCCCCCUGGCCACCCUUCCCUGCUGAGCUGAUAGGGACGGCUAAAGACCUGGAGAUAAAGAGUCUGCACCUGAAUUUCAAUCUGGUGGCCACCAGUCGGCAGUAAGAUGAUACGCUCACGUGGGUGAGACCAGACCACAGGGUUUGGCUUUUUUACAAAGGAGUAUAGAUUUUGAAAUAUGUUACUGUAAUGCAUCAUUGACUCAAUGGACAUGAGUCUGAGUGAACUCCAGAAGUGGGUGAUGGACAGGGAGGCCUGGCAUGCUGUGAUUCAUGGGGUCGCAAAGAGUCGGACACAGCUGAGCGACUGAACUGACUGACUGACUAACUAAUUACAGGACUAAUGUCAGAGUUGGACCAAGGCUGAACACCAAAGAAUUGAUGCUUUCCAACUGUGGUGCUGGAGAAGACUCUUGAGAGUCCCUUGGACAGCAAAGAGAUCAAACCAGUCAAUCCUAAAGGAAAUCAACCCUGAAUUUUCACUGGAAGGACUGAUGCUGAAACUGAAGCUCCAGUACUUUGGCCACCUGAUGUGAAGAACUGAUGCAUUGGAAAGAACCUGAUGAAAGACUGAGGGCAGGAGGAGAAGAGGGCAACAGAGGGUGAGAUGGUUGUAUGUCUUCACUGACUCAAUGAACAUGAGUCUAAGCAAGCUCCAGGAGAUAGUGAAGGACAGGGAAGCCUGGCAUGCUGUAGUCUAUGGGGUUGCUAAGAGUUGGGCACGAUUGAGCAGCUGAACAGCAGCAGAAUCUAUGGAAUCAAUUAUGUAUGGCAAUGUUAAAUUUUAUGGAAGAUGACAAAUCAUGGCAUUUUCAGGUCAAAAUUCAUGUAUUAGAUAGUGGUUUUCAUUUACCAAAUGUAGAUCUGCAAUAACUUAUACUAUAUGAAUAUAAAAGCAAAAAUAGAUAUUCUAGAGAAGGAGAUAUGACUGUAGAAGGUCAGAGAGAUGCAACACUGAUAGCUUUGAAGAUGGAAGGGGACCAUGAGCCAAGGAAUGCAGUCUCUAGAAUGUGAGGAGGAACUACUAGUAGCCUUAUAGGAGGAAGAAAUCACAGAGGUCCCUCUCAGUCAUGUGAGGACUUAGUAAGAAGGCAUUUAUCUGCAAUCAGGAAGAGCCCUCACCAGAACCUGACCAUGCUGACAACCUGAUCUCAGAUUUCUAACCUCUUAUAUAAAAAAAAAAGUUCUAGAUUUCUCUACUUGCGUCCUAGAGCCAGAGAAUUAAGAGUAGUAGUAGAAACUUCAGAAUUUGGGAAAUGUUUCACAGAGUGCCUAGCAGUAAGGGAAAUCUUGAUGCCUAAAAAUAUUUUAUAGGUUUGGGAUUACUACUAGCUAGAGUGUGCUGAUAAAUGUUUACCAACCAAGGGGGAUUUGGGGAAGGGAGGAGAAAAGGUCUGAUACGUAAUCUUUGUCUUUGGUUUAAAUGAUUCAGACUUGGGUGGUUUCAAGCUACUGUAUGAGACCAGUGACCACAGAUUUUGGAAGAGAUACACACAAUGUGCUUUAACUGUUGUAGGAGGGUGGGGGGGGCCUGUCCAGGACCCCAAGAGCAGGCUCUUAUCUAACACUAGGAAAAGAAUUGUCCAAGGAGACACGUGCUGACAAAGCAAGAGACUUUCCUGGAAGAGACUUUAUCAGGUGGAGAGCAGCAGGGUAAGGGAACCCAGGAGAACUGCUCUGCCACGUGGCUCGCAGUCUCGGGUUUUAUGGUGAUGGGAUUAGUUUCCGGGUUGUCUUUGGCCAAUCAUUCUGAUGCAGAGUCCUUCCUGAUGGUGCAUGCAUUGCUCAGCCAAGAUGGACGCUAGCAAGAGGGAUUCUGGGGAGUGUAUGGACAUGCAGUGUCUCCUUUUGCUCUUUCCAGAACUCCUCCAGUUGGUGGUGGCUUAUUAGUUCCAUAUUCCUUACCAGGAUCUCCUGUUGUAAAACAACUUAUGGGAAUGGUUACUAGAGAGCCUGGCCAGGGUGGGCGGUUUCAGAGUGCUUCCCCUAACAUAACUAGCCAAUAAACUGGCCCCAACAUACAAAUAGCUAUAGGGCUCUGAAAGUUUCCUCACAUGGUUCCAUUAUUAAACAUCCCAUUGCUCUAACUGCUGCUUUAGUCACUCAAUCAUGUCCAGCUCUUUGCGACCCCAUGGACUGUAGCCCACCAGGCUCCUCUGUCCAUGGGAUUCUCCAGGCAAGAAUACUGGAGUGGGUAGCCAUUCCCUUCUCCAGGGGAUCUUCCUUACCAAGGGACUGAACCUGGGUCUCCCACAUUGCAGGCGGAUUCUUUACCACAUGAGCCACCAGGGAAGUCUAAAUUCUCUGCCAGAUGCUCUCAGGAAAUCUGGUGGUGGUGUUUGUGGGGGUGGAGGUAUGAUUUUCUCCAAUUGGGAUCAUGUCUUUGAUGUAGUAUUAAAAGAUAAUUUUUAAAAAAUCUUCUUUACAUUUAGUAGGCUGUUGAAGAACUACUUUAUAAAAAGUACCUGCAAUUCUCUUAUUUUAUUCAUUAUUAAGUUUUUUAAUGUGGUGAGCUAUUUUUCUUCUGACUCUCAUACAAUUUGUGUUUGUUUCAUACUGCUACAUAUUAGAGAAUUCUACAGUAUACAGGGCCUGAUAAAACUUCGAACGUUGAACAUUUUAAUUCAUAUAUGAAAUAAUUUGCAUAUAUUAAUUUUAUAUAUGUAAAUGAAGCUGUUUAUUAAUUUCAGAAAAGAAUCCUUUUACCCAAGUGUUUUGAGUAAGUAAUUUUUAGGAUUUUUAAUUGAAUUAUGUAUGUAAUCAUUAUUAAGGAUACCUGAAGUAAGUUACUUUGUAAUUUUUUAAACUACUCUGCAAGUCUGAAAGUGUUGAAUAAAUAUUUAAGUAUUGAGUCAGACUAAUUUGGAUAGAAAACCUGAAAAUGUUACUAAGUUAUCAAAAUAGAUUAAAAAAAGACUUUUCAAGUACAAGCAUCAUUUUUAAACUUAUAAGAAGAUAAAUGAAAAUUAUAUUUUCCUAGAAAUGCUAAAAAGAUAUAAAAUAUUCAUGGACUUCCCUGGUGGCUCAGACAGCAAAGCAUCUGUCUACGAUGCAGGAGACCCAGGUUCGAUCCCUGGGUUGGGAAGAUCCCUUGGAGAAGGAAAUGGCAAUCCACUCCAGUACUAUUGCCUGGAAAAUCCCAUGGACAGAGGAGCCUGGUAGGCUACAAUCCAUGGGGUCUCGAAGAGUCACACACGACUGAGCGACUUCACGUUCACGUUCACAUUCACAUUAUUCAUAAGAUAAAUUUUAAAUAUCAUAGUCACUGAGAUAUUUUCAGUGUCCUAUAAGGAUUUUAUGUUCUUAGAAGUUUAUGUAGAAAUAAUGAAUACUUUAGGAACAGUUACAUAUCAAUGAUAAGGUUUCUCUACUUUGAAAGAGUUAAGAAAGAAAAUAUAAUGGUAAAAUAAAAUAUAGAUGUUAUUAAUAUUACUUAUCAAAAGAAGAAUUCUAGUCUAUAUUCGUUAAUCUGUUAAAUGGGGGAGCUAUUGCAUUACACAAAAUACUGGCCAGUUCUGUUCAUCUAAGCAUUUUCCUUUGAUUAAAACUAUUUGUAAUAAAUGAUGACCCAAGGCUUUGUAAAUGAUAUCUUAACUGGGGUCACGGUCUAAUGAAAUUGUAUCUUGAAAGGAGUUUCAAUUACUAGACUUAUAAAAUAUGAGUCUACUUAUUACAUUUAAAGUGAGGCAUCAGUUCAUUCUAUAAAAACAAUACGUAUUGGUUAAUAUCCAGUUUUUGGACCAACACUUAUUAGGCUUUACAUGAGAGAGGUUGUUUAUCUGAAGAGCAUGAAAAAUACCAUUCCUCAAAAGUAAAUGCCCUGCUGUUGUUUGUUUUGCUUCCCUUAAAAUCCAGAUAGAUCUGGCAAGUCUCUUAAUCCCAUUAAGGGUGAGAAAGAAGAAGAGGAAUGCAUUACAAACUUCAGUUCUGUUCAGUUGCUCAGUCGAGUCUGACUCUUUGCGACCCCAUGAAUCGCAGCACGCCAAGCCUCCCUGUCCAUC